rnacentral:rRNA from 1 species
CACGGGGGGAGCAAGCGUUGUUCGGAAUCACUGGGCGUAAAGGGCGUGUAGGCGGUCAAGUAAGUGGGAUGUGAAAUCCCUCGGCUCACCCGAGGACCUGCAUCCCAAACUGCUUGGCUUGAGUAUGGGAGAGGAUGAGGGAAUUCCUGGUGUAGCGGUGAAAUGCGUAGAGAUCUGGAGGAACACCGAUGGCGAAGGCAGCCCCCUGGGCUAACACUGACGCUGAGGCACGAAAGCUGGGGGAGCGAACGGG